AAGGGAGACCUAAUUCGGGUAUAAGACGAAAAAAUAGUAGUUGAAACCAAGAAUCAAUCCCAAAAGGUCGGAACGAGGUAUGUGGCUUUCAAACUAGGUUCUGGGUUCACAAAAGACAUGAAUCAGGAACAAGGGCUAUUAGCUCAGGUGGUUAGAGCGCACCCCUGAUAAGGGUGAGGUCCCUGGUUCGAGUCCAGGAUGGCCCACCUGCACAGGUGGCAAAAACAAAGAAGCGAGGAAUCAGCACCUUAUCUUACUUAUAUAGUAAGAGAGAAUGCUGGCUCUGAGUAAAGAGUCCAGAGGAACCUUGAAAAAUGCAUAGAGCUAGGUGAAAAAGCCAAAAAAGAAGACCGCAA
rnacentral:tRNA from 1 species